GAUCAUGGCUCAGGACGAACGCUGGCGGCGUGCCUAAUACAUGCAAGUCGAACGAACUCUGGUAUUGAUUGGUGCUUGCAUCAUGAUUUACAUUUGAGUGAGUGGCGAACUGGUGAGUAACACGUGGGAAACCUGCCCAGAAGCGGGGGAUAACACCUGGAAACAGAUGCUAAUACCGCAUAACAACUUGGACCGCAUGGUCCCGAGUUUGAAAGAUGGCUUCGGCUAUCU
rnacentral:rRNA from 1 species